UAGGGAAUCUUCCACAAUGGACGCAAGUCUGAUGGAGCAACGCCGCGUGAGUGAAGAAGGUCUUCGGAUCGCAAAACUCUGUUGUUAGAGAAGAACACGAGUGAGAGUAACUGUUCAUUCGAUGACGGUAUCUAACCAGCAAGUCACGGCUAACUACGUGCUAG
rnacentral:rRNA from 1 species